rnacentral:tRNA from 1 species
GGUGGGGUGACCGAAUGGCGAGGUCACGACGCGCAACGUCGUGUAUGCAGGUUCGAAUCCUGCCCCCACCU